CAAUAGCGUAUAUUAAAGUUGUUGCAGUUAAAAAGCUCGUAGUUGAACUUCAGACCUGGCUGGGCGGUCCGCCUAACGGUGUGUACUGUCUGGCUGGGUCUUACCUCUUGGUGAGCCGGCAUGCCCUUCACUGGGUGUGUCGGGGAACCAGGACUUUUACCUUGAGAAAAUUAGAGUGUUCAAAGCAGGCCUGCGCCUGAAUACAUUAGCAUGGAAUAAUAAAAUAGGACGUGCGGUUCUAUUUUGUUGGUUUCUAGAGUCGCCGUAAUGAUUAAUAGGGAUAGUUGGGGGCAUUAGUAUUCCGUUGCUAGAGGUGAAAUUCUUGGAUUUACGGAAGACUAACUACUGCGAAAGCAUUUGCCAAGGAUGUUUUCAUUA
rnacentral:rRNA from 1 species